rnacentral:lncRNA from 1 species
AAUUAAACCAAUACAAGAUCAUUUUUUUCCCUCUUUUGGCAUGGCAAGUUGUUGGAACUUGGUUCACUAAUCAAGACUUCUAACUUGUGUUGUUGCCUACAUUAUUAUUGACCGACCUCAGAUAGUUGUGACUUCUACAUAAGUCCACUUACGAUUGCUUAACAUAGCGCUAAAUUUGCCUUAUGGCACACUAACUACUAAC